CAGGACUUUUCCUCUUUCCCCUCCCUCUUCUCUUCAGUCGUCUCUCUGUCUCUUCAUCUCUUUUCUCCUUCCUUCCCUUAUUUGCUUACGUGACGCUCAAUAAGACUUUCAAUGAGUCACAUCUACAGGUUUCUGUUUCUCCAGCUGCCCAUCAGCGCCUGUGCCGCUGGACCCGGGACCUACCAACUGUGGUCCCAACCAGUUAGAGUCAAGGUAGAGAGCUCAGGGCAGCAACUGGGAUAUUUUUAGCUGCAACUCACAAAGGAGAUAAGCCUUGCCUGGGGAACUUGCUCAGUAAACAGACUGGCCCCAAACCUCACCUACUAGGUUUCCUUAAGGCCUUUGGAAGCUCCUUCCUCUCAAACAUUCUAGGCUUUCUUAUUUAUCACCGGUGAAGCCGAUGAAUCCCAACAUGAGUGAAGAACAGUGAGAGAGCCCUCAAGCAACUAGAAGUAUCCCCAGAGAAUAAAUACUUCGACGAAUUUAGGAAUCCCCCAUGGAUUUUGGGUUCCAAUUUUCAUCUGGAAAAAAAGGAAAAGAAAGGCCUUGUUCUCAUCUGCCUGGACAAUUGAUCUCUUUGCCUGUGUCUCAGUCAGUGUGAAGGAUGAAGGAGAUAAGGUGGUAUCUGAUGAGCAGGAGACAGCAUGAAGCCAGUAACAACAGCAUUGACCUCUGAGGUCUGUUAGACUCCAGGGAAAUCUCUACAGCAGCAUCCAUAGAGGCAGCUUCUUCAUACAACUCCUGGUUGGGACUGCUCUUGGACAAAUGGAGAAUGACCCUGGUAAAUGCAGAAGCGAUUUGGAUUUAUCUGUAGCCCAUGCACUUUGACUUUUGAGAGAAGCUGAAUUAAACAGAAGACUUGAAGGAAUGUUUAACUCAACUAGGAAGAAAUUCAGAUGUCACGAGAAAAGUGAAGAAAAAUGCAUGGUUCCUUUUGCAUGUAUAUUGUGUCUGCGUGUUUACAUGUGUGUGGAUGCAUACACAUAUGGAUGAAUAUGCAUGCAUAGGUCAGAGAUUGAAACUGGAUGCCAUUUAAACAUUUAAUUCUUGGCCUUGAGAUAGCAAUGACGGUGGAAGGCGGAAGAGAACACGCAUGUCCAGGAUACCAAUGGACCAAGAUAAAAUGAUCGGAACUGCAAAGACAAAACAACAUCAACAAAACCCAAACAAGCAAAGAAGAAACUUUGACCAUUUUCUGGGAAAUAAGAGAAUUGUUUGGCAACAAUAUGCCAACUAUUGGCAGCAUGGAUUCCUGGAACUCCAUGUGAGGCUUAGGUAUUGUUGUGUUCAUCUUUUAACUCCUGAUAGUCAUCUUUGGAGGCCUUGUAAUCCCUUAGGAAGGAAAAGUCCAGUGUGUGUGUUUAUUGCAAUGUCCAUUAAGUGAAGAGAAAAUGGAGGCUUAUGGGUUCUUAGUGAGUGUUAGGGUCAGAACCUGAAUCCAAACUUCCAAACUCAUUGGUCCAGCAGCCUCAGCUGAAUGGGUGCAGUUCAUGUCUUCAUCACUAAACAUUCC
rnacentral:lncRNA from 1 species